rnacentral:rRNA from 1 species
AUUGAACGCUGGCGGCAUGCUUUACACAUGCAAGUCGAACGGCAGCGCGGGCUUCGGCCUGGCGGCGAGUGGCGAACGGGUGAGUAAUACAUCGGAACGUGCCCAGUCGUGGGGGAUAGCUCGGCGAAAGCCGGAUUAAUACCGCAUACGACCUGAGGGUGAAAGCGGGGGAUCUUCGGACCUCGCGCUAUUGGAGCGGCCGAUGGCAGAUUAGCUAGUUGGUGGGGUAAAGGCCUACCAAGGCGACGAUCUGUAGCUGGUCUGAGAGGACGACCAGCCACACUGGAACUGAGACACGGCCCAGACUCCUACGGGAGGCAGCAGUGGGGAAUUUUGGACAAUGGGCGAAAGCCUGAUCCAGCAAUGCCGCGUGUGUGAUGAAGGCCUUCGGGUUGUAAAGCACUUUUGGCGGGAACGAAAAGGACUGUGCCAAUACCACGGUUCGAUGACGGUACCCGCAGAAUAAGCACCGGCUAACUACGUG